AUACCAUGCUCCCGGAGCGCUGCUGAGGCUGAGGGGUGGGAGGGAGGGAAGAAAGAUGGAGAAAGUGAAGCAAAGAGUGAGAGGUGAGAGAAGCAGCAUGAAGAAAGUGGGAGGACAGAGAAAUCAGAUGAGCUGGGAUGUAGGGACAAGAAGACAUGGGAUGGGUAGACAAAAGAUGUCGAGAAAGGAUGAGAGAGAAAGAGACAGAGAGAGAGAGAGGGGAGGGAAAGAAGAAGGGAGGUUGGAGCGAUGGCAGAUGAAAGCUUUGGGAGGAGCGGAGUACUGAGCAGCAUCAGCCAGCGCUGUGAGAGCAUGUUGAGCCUGCAGGGACAGCCGGGGGAGCGGAGAAACGGCGGGGCUUUGGAAGAAGCUUAAAAGACAGACGCCUUCAACAGAGAUGUGAAGAGAGUGUGUAACUUUCUAACGACACAAAGAGGAGGAGGUUAAAUCGAGGUGUGUGCGUGCGUGUGUGUGUGUGUGUGUGUGUGUGUGUGUGUGUGUGUGUGUGUGUGUUGCGUGUGUGUGUGUCUGACCUGUUUCCCGUCAGAUCAGCAGCCAGUAAAAUGUGAAAGCAGAACUGGUGUGAAAACUGCCCCCCAGUGGAGAGAUUGUGAACGGCGUGGAAACUGGUCCCAAUAUUUGUUGAGGCUCCAACAUCUGUACUGCUACAGUUAUGUGUAUGAAGGUGAUCCAGGACAGAACUGUACUGCAGAGGGGAGAUGGCUUCAAAUGUUGCAGAACCUUUAGCUGUUCAGCAGGUGUUGUGUGUGUGUGUUAUGUUUCUGUCCGUUGAGAGAAGUUCUCGUCACACUGCCUCUGCACCAUCUCAGAGGG